rnacentral:tRNA from 1 species
UGGGUCGGUGUCCGAGUGGUUAAAGGAGAUGGAUUGUAAAUCCAUUGGCAACUGUCUACAUAGGUUCAAAUCCUAUUCGGCCCAA